rnacentral:rRNA from 1 species
UACGUAGGGGGCUAGCGUUGUCCGGAAUCAUUGGGCGUAAAGCGCGUGUAGGCGGUCCGGUAAGUCCGCUGUGAAAGUCGGGGGCUCAACCCUCGAAAGCCGGUGGAUACUGUCGGGCUCGAGUACGGAAGAGGCGAGUGGAAUUCCUGGUGUAGCGGUGAAAUGCGUAGAUAUCGGGAGGAACACCUGUGGCGAAGGCGGCCCCCUGGUUGGAUACUGACGCUGAGACGCGAAAGCGUGGGGAGCAAACAGG